rnacentral:rRNA from 1 species
GACGAACGCUGGCGGCGUGCUUAACACAUGCCAGUCGAACGGAAAGGCCCUGCUUUUGUGGGGUGCUCGAGUGGCGAACGGGUGAGUAACACGUGAGUAACCUGCCCUUGACUUUGGGAUAACUUCAGGAAACUGGGGCUAAUACCGGAUAGGAGCUCCUGCUGCAUGGUGGGGGUUGGAAAGUUUCGGCGGUUGGGGAUGGACUCGCGGCUUAUUAGCUUGUUGGUGGGGUAGUGGCUUACCAAGGCUUUGACGGGUAGCCGGCCUGAGAGGGUGACCGGCCACAUUGGGACUGAGAUACGGCCCAGACUCCUACGGGAGGCAGCAGUGGGGAAUAUUGCACAGUGGGCGGAAGCCUGAUGCAGCAACGCCGCGUGCGGGAUGACGGCCUUCGGGUUGUAAACCGCUUUCGCCUGUGACGAAGCGUGAGUGACGGUAAUGGGUAAAGAAGCACCGGCUAACUACGUG